UAUGAAACCAUGAUCGUGUGGGUUUAUUUAUUUUUUGUGGUUAUGGCAGCAUUUGGUUAGCAUUACAACUUUUAAAUAUUGAUUAUGAUGAACUAUGCAUGUGCAUAAUGAAACACCUGUUCUUGUCGCAGGUCCUGGCAUAUACAGGUAGAUACAACAAUAAAAUGCUCACUACUGUUUCACCAUGCGAGAAUGCAUGAGAAAAGUCAGGAAUCGAUCAAAAGAAUCAAAAUGCGUGCAUCGUAACGAAUCCCCGGUUCUUUAAAGUUUUAAUCGGUUCUAAAAUGAAACUGAUUCUUCAUACCCAACCCUAGACUCUGUCUUUGUUCACCAGUGGUCCCUUUUUUCCCUGUGACGGAGCAUGUUGUCAUUUUUUCUAAGGUGGAAAUGGAGUCCAUCACAGUUCUGAGUAACAUAAGUGUAUGGAAUUGAAACGACAUAAGGGUUGAUGAUGACAAGGUGAUGACACAAAGGAGCUUCCAUUGCCUUUAUUGCAACUAGGACUGACAAUAAUGUCUGCAAACCCUUCUCCAAAUAUUAAGUCUUAUUCUAUUACAACAUUGCCACCUGCCAGC